AGGGUCGGCUCUGAAUAUGAAUGGCUAGAUAAAGUACAAGUCGUAACAAGGUCUCAGUUGGAGAACCAGCUGAAGGAUCAUU
rnacentral:rRNA from 1 species